rnacentral:rRNA from 1 species
GGAUGCGAUCAUACCAGCACUAGCGCACAAAUCCCAUUAGAACUCCAAAGUGAAGCGUGCUUAGGCGAGAGUAGUACUAGGAUGGGUGACACCCUGGGAAGUUCUCGUGUUGCAUCCC